rnacentral:rRNA from 1 species
GACCUCAGAUCAGGUAGGGAUACCCGCUGAACUUAAGCAUAUCAAUAAGCGGAGGAAAAGAAACCAACAGGGAUUGCCCUAGUAACGGCGAGUGAAGCGGCAAAAGCUCAGAUUUGAAAUCUGUCGUCAUUUUGGCGUCCGAGUUGUAGUCUGUAGAGGUGUAUUCGAGUGUGGCUUUGGCUUAAGUUCCUUGGAACAGGACGUCAUAGAGGGUGAGAACCCCGUUAACGGCCUUUGUCUUAUGCUCAUGUGAAUCUCCUUCAACGAGUCGAGUUGUUUGGGAAUGCAGCUCUAAAUGGGUGGUAAAUUCCAUCUAAAGCUAAAUACUGGCAAGAGACCGAUAGCGCACAAGUAGAGUGAUCGAAAGAUGAAAAGAACUCUGAACAGAGAGUUAAAUAGUACGUGAAAUUGUUGAAAGGGAAGCACUUCCGACCAGACGCACUUGCAGCCGAUCAAUCUUCAUUCUUGAGGAUGCACUCGGUUGUCUGUGGGUCAGCAUCAGUUAUGGCGGUGGGAAAAAGACUAAAGGAAUGUAGCUCCUUUCGGGGAGUGUUAUAGCCUCUGGUGCAAUGCUGCCUGCUGUGACUGAGGACCGCGCUUCG